UUUCCGAUGGCAUUAACUAAAUAAUUCGAAAACACUACUUUCCAUGGCCAGUAACACUGAAACUACUGAUUGUAAAAGUAUUACAAAAAAGAAAAUAUUUUUAUUUAAGAGUCCAAAAGAAAAUGAAGUCGACAAAUAUACAGAGAGUUUAGAAAGUCAUGGAAUGUCUUGUAUACCUUUACCAGUUCUCUCUUUCUGCUUCGUAAAUCAGCAGCUUCUGAAAAGUUA
rnacentral:sRNA from 13 species